rnacentral:lncRNA from 1 species
AUGUGUCCUUUUGCUUCUGAGAAUCAAACAAUCCUUUUGCUAAUGAAGAAAAUAAGCCGGAAUGAAUACUGUCAUAUCUUCUUCUUGAAGAAAGCUUUCAAUACAGAUCUGUGUAAGACGUGGGAACGGAGUACAUACUUGACGGCAAAGAUGAGGCAGCAAACCAUGGGGACCAAACUGAGGUUAUCUUCUAGGAAAGACCUGGGGGAGACGGGAAAUGUGAACCAUGCGGUUUUCAACAGAGAAAAACUGAUAAAGACAUGGCUCAGAAAGGCCAUAACCAUGCACCUCAUCUCACCAGAGCAGCUUUAACAAACCUCAGUGAAUCUUCACUUCCUUCAGACUGAAGAUAAAGGCAGAAUAAGUUUUUGUUGAUUGAAUUAUCUACCUUUAAUCACGUCUCUGGCUUGCUUCCUGCAAGAUCUGUGUAUCUCCCGCGGCACCCAGAGCGUUGUCUGAUGCAGUGAAGGGGGCUCAUAUGGGUAUGCUCUUCACUGACCAACACCAACUUGGGAGUUCCCUCUCUGCUCCCAUCACUACCAGUGGAAUCUUUAGCUUUGUCUCAUGAAGCCGUUUCCCAAAAUAGGGGAACUUGCUCCAUGAAUUAAGGAAUGGACCUAGGGGCUGAAAAUAUCUAUGGAAGUCUUUCAAGUACUUAAUCACUUGUUUCCCAAAGGGAGUCACAAAUUGUCUGGCAAGCAGACCACAGGCUUUGUUUAAAUCUGUCCCUCCCAGAACAGAAAAAGGGAGACAGAAAUAAGAAUGGUCUGACAGCAAUACCAUUGCCUCCAAAUUGUGCCUCAACCUUUCCUGGGCCCUCAGCGUCAGAACGUGUUUUGUAGAACUAUAGGAUGGGCAAGGCAGUUUGCAAGAUGCCAACUCAACCCUCUCUCUGAGGUGGAAAAAAAUCACGUUCAAAGAGGGUAUUAUAUCUGAAGACCUCGGCAAACAGGAUAAAAGCCCUAUUCCUUAAUUUCUAGUACUCUGCCCUUUGUAAUGCAACACACUGGCUCAAUUAAAG